rnacentral:lncRNA from 1 species
GUGAACUUGGGCAAGUGACCUAAUCCUCUGCAUUUCAUCUCUAAAUUGGGGAGAAUAGAAGCAUCUACUUCAUGUAGUAGCCAGGAUUAGAAGAGUGAUGAAGCUAUACUUGUUUCAUUUUCCAGAUGGGGCCACUUGAGGGAAAAGACCUACCCAAGGGCACAUAAUCUGUACAUGAGAGAGAGCCAGAUGUAACAGACUGAGUACUGGACUUGGGGUUAAACAGACUGUGAAUCUUUCCACCCCAUUGGGAGGAAUAACUGGGCCCUGGAUAGAAUGUGAUGAAUGUAUAUUCUUAAUGAGAAGUGGAAAUAAUUUGUGGUUGAGAGCUGUGCCUCAGAUCAGAGUGACAGGAUACAUGGCUAGGCUAUAUUUUCCAGCAGAUUAAGAGCUGCGGCCCAAGACUCUGAAAUAUGAAGAAAAAAGGAGAAGAUGACAGCAUAUCUUUUUAAAGAAAUAUUUUCCAGCCAAAUGGUGUAGCAGAGGACUUCCAGGAAUUUGUUCUUGUUCUGUAUCAAAGGUGAAGAGUUCGUAGCCUUCAAGGAAACAAGAAACCAUGGGAUGGAGUGAAGGAAGGUGGCCUGGAACCAGCUGCUGAGCCUCUCUGAGCCCCAGUUUCCUCGUCUCUAAAAUGGGGCUGAUCUCCUCUCCCUCAGACUGUUGUUGCAGGAAUUAAAACAGGUGUUGAGUGGGAAAGCAUCAGUCCCAUAGCAAAUGGCCCCUGAGUAGUAGGAUCUGAGUUCUGGUUCUGGUCCUGCUGGGGUAUGGCUGGUUGAGAGGUCAAAGAGGUAAUUAAAGGGAUUGCCAGCU